CAAAACAUGGAAAUGUCUGACUAUGAAAAGUAUGUGUGGUGGUUUGCAUAGCAAACCUUUCAUCUCUCAUGCAGCCUUUCUCCUAUGUCCUCUCUCUAGCUUCAUAAAAUGAAUGUGCCGAAUGAGAGGUAGGUCCAUGCAACACAAAUACUUUUGUCAAUAUAUAGCCAGUGGUGAGCUGGAGCCGGUUCGCACGAACCAGUUGUUAAAUUUUGACCCAGUUUUACAACCGGUUGUUAAAAGUUGUUACGGCUCCCUGAGCUCCCAGCCGGCCCCUCCCCUGCCUCCCCCCUCUCGCAGAGCCUCAGCGUGCCGUGCUGCUGGCACCAGCGUUCUGGACCGCUCCUGGGCAGCUCUGCAGCGCCUGCCGCUUUGAGCGGCAUGGUCAGGGGGUGGGGCUGCGAGCUCCAGCGGGCCGCGCGGCAUCCAUACAUGCUGCCCUGAGCGGCAUGGGUACCAAUUUCCUCUCGUGGAGCAUAAGGACAUUCAGGAAGCUCCUGCCAGCAUAACUAGAAUGCUUUGGAUGGAAGGAGAAGCAAAACAUGUUCAUCAUGGGGCAAUUUCUGCCUUCGCCUCUUCAUGUGCACGGGACCGAACAUGCAGCUAGCCCAGUGUCGUUUCCCCGAAUGGGGUGACGAGGAGUUAGGAGUUCACUGAAUACACACCUUCUGUAAAGCCCAGAGCUCAAACCCAGAGAGGGUCUCUGCUUGCUGUCAUGUAAGUGGAUUUCAGGAUGGAGGUCUAAAAAUCUGCCACUAUGCACAACCCCCAUAGGGAAGAAGAGCCAGAGGGAGAUGGUGAAAGGGCUGCAUCGCCAUGGGGCUGGAUUUGUAGCUACAAAGCUAUUCUGUGGCCUGGGGGAAGAUUCCACAGCUCCAUGCGUUUGUGAAGAUCUCCAGCCCUGGCAAGAGGGUAGGGGUUUGUGAGCACAAGUUAUGCUGCCACCACACUCUUCCUGUAACAAAUCUUAACCAGGAGCAAUAAGAAGUGACUCACAGGAUUUCAUUGUAUUGUUUAAAGUGAAUCUAGUUCCCAUGGAAGAUGCCAGAUCCACAGCUCUGGAGACUCAAGGCUUGUAUUUCUCCACAGGAAAAGUACAGCGGGGUGUUGGAAGUGCUGGCUUCCCCCAUACUGUCCUCGCAGCGGGCCUCCAUCUGAACGGAAAGGGGACCACCUAUAAGGAGGCAGAAGUCUCCGUUUCCAUGAGCUCACAGCAGAGAGUAUAGCACUUCAUCCAAUUUCUGAUUUAAAGCGUGAGCCAUUUUCCAAACGCUCUCUUGCCAGAUCAACUGUGCAUUUCAUCAGCCUCUUGCCCACCAGCAAUCAUGAAAUAUGAGACAUUGUGGGAAAGCAAAGUCGUAGAAAGAGUGUCUUGCUCCAGACUCCCCAGCCCAGCUGCUCUCCAGGCAGCUUUUGUGAUGCUAGGGACAGUAAACAUCAGCCUGAAAAAAUCAGAGAGUUUGGGCAUUUUGGCUUCCAGCCAUUGGACAACUUCUUAUUUUUACUGAUGCAUGGCUAUGAAAAUUAAAGGGCCCUUUAGUGUUAAUAUCUUUGGAAGCUGCUAUGUGAUAUAUCUGGAAUCAGUCCACGAUGUUCCUACCUGCUCUGCAUCCUAUGCUAUAAGCAAUCAAAGCAGUUCUCUUCCUCCUCUAUGCCUCAAUCUACACCAAUUUUAAUCAAUUUUAAUUUCUCCUUCCAUUAAAUUGGCCUGUCCAACCAGACUCACAAAUAACGCAACAACGUUGAGUUUCGGGAGCCCUGUGUUGACUGGAGUAACUAGAUAUAUCUCUUCACAGCUAGAGUGGUGGAUAUGGCACAAGUAUUUGUUCUUAACUGCACUGCAGGGAAUUAAUUUAUUUAUGUAUAUUCCAUUUACAGGCAUGCCACACAUCAGGCUUUCACUCUGUCAGUUUGUAUAACAGGAUCAGAAGUGGCAGAGAGAAGGCAACACUCAUUUCUGAGCAUUUUUCGUUUGUUUAUUUCUCCAGUAACUUAGUUAAAGACAUAGCAGACUUUAACUGUCAAUGAGCCAAACUCAUCCCUGGAGUAACUAUUGACUUCAGGGGGCUUAUAGCAAGAAUGAAUUUCUUACCUACCUGACAACUCCUGCUCUGUUUCCACUUCUACAGUCUAUCCUUAGCCUCCACAUUCUUAGUUCUUCUCUGAGGUCUUAUGUUAAUUCUCUCCGUUGUGCUCAGGGCUACACUUAAGGAAUCCAAAGACUGGCAGAAAAAUGCAACCUUGGCAUCACUGGCAGAUUGCCACACCAAUUAAUAUCACUCUAGGAGUUCAGAUACCAUGGUGAUGGGUGUGGUAUAAGAACCUGAACAGAAUACCAUGAAUUGACUGUACUACAGAUAUGCUGUGGAUAGCAGGUAUAUUUCUAAGUGAGUGUUCUGAGUGGACAGACAUGCAGUAUUCUGAACAUAUUUUUAAUUAUAAAGGAUUAAAUUCGCCCCAUGUGCAUAGGUCCAGUGAAAGUUAAGUAGGAUUUCAGUGGUGCUGAAGCUGUCAACAUAUGGAGGUUUAGAUUUGAUUCCUGACCCUGCUUCAGACUUCCUGUGGGGCCUUGGGCAAGUCACUUAAUCUCUCUGUGCCUUUGUUCCCCAACUGGAGGAUAAUACGACUUUGUUUCACCCACCCUUUGACUGAAAUUCAUAUUGUAAGUUCUCCAGGGCAGAAGCUGUCUCCUACUGUUGCAGUUACUGUGCCUUGUACAAGGGGCUCUGAUGUCAUUUGGGCCUCUAUGUGCUACUGUAACACAAAUAAUAAUUAAUAAGAACCACCUGACUAGUUCAGAACAUCAAGUCUGACUUCAUCUGCUAUUAUAAUGAUGAAAGAUAUUAUCAGACUCCAUAAGCACACCAAAUAGCUUUCUGGCUCUGGUGCACAGUAGAGGUAAAACAUACUGACUGAAGUGCUCCAGUCAUUUCUGUGUGAGCAAAAUGAAGCAUCCACUCUCUGACUUACAUCAACAAGAAUCGUUCAUGUAUGUAUGGAAGCCUUCUGUAUGUACAGUAGCAAAUGGAAUAGACCAGUUUGCUGUGAUCAGGAUUUCUCUGCCAAAACAGUUAUUCUUGUGUCUUUCCACACCUUAGGAACACAUAUAUGAGAGCAAUACAGUGAGUCUACCCAUGGAAUAAUCAUCUGUUGGCGUGAAAGGCCUAUCAAGACUAAUGGAAGCCAUACACAGAAUGUUAAGUAGAGUUCGGUACAAUUUAUCAAGGGCUAUCUGACCUGUCCGGUCCUCUAUCUGUUUCUCAAAAAUGGCCUGGACAGUCCUUCCUCUCUGCCACUGUCCUGUUCUACAAUAUUAGUGUUACACAUGUCAAAAGUCUACGUGCAAAGUUGGAACAACAAUUAAGCAAUCCCUCAGCUGAGCUCGUCUUGAGUUGUUCUUUCAUAGGGAUCCUUUCUUAUUACAUUUGCUAUUGCCCAGUUUUUAAAAAAUGGCUUUGGAGGGAGUGGGGUUAUUCAGCCUGUAGUCAGGAAAGAGCUGGCUCAAGCUACCCUAGAGCUUCCCUUUCCAUUUCCCCAAAUACAAGGUCAUCAAGAAGGCAAAGAAGAUUCAUGGAAUGUUAUGCACUGAAAAUGAAGUUAUUAGCAUACAGUGAUGUGUUCAGUAUUCCUUAGAAAGCUGUUGUAUAGCCAUUCCUUUGUGUAUUCUUGUCUUCCUUGGAAACUUGGACUUUGUAAAACCCAGAUACUACUUAAAUAUAUCACACAUUAUGUUUCUCUGACUAAAGUACAUUGAACUAAAUGAAAUUCAGUUUAAAUUAGAAAGCCCUGUUGUGAAGUUCAGAUCUGGGUCCAAAUCUGAACUGCCCUGGGACUGUCCAGCUCUAGUUAGCUAUUUAGCCCAAUGUAUUUUAUACCACCUUUAACUAUGGUUGAUCUGAGUUUGGGUUCUGGCCCAUAGCUACUUAUAAUA